rnacentral:lncRNA from 1 species
CUCACCCUGCACUCUGUCUCAGAGCUGGUCCGGCUCUGCUUGCGCAGGUGUGACGUCCAGGAAGACAGCGAGGGCUCAGACACAGAUGACAAUAAAGAUUCAACACCAUUUGAGGACAACGAGGUACAAGACGAGUUCCUAGAGAAGUUGGAGACAUCAGAAUUCUUUGAGCUGACCUCAGAGGAGAAGCUACGGAUAUUGACAGCUCUGUGCCACCGGAUCCUCAUGACGUACUCUGUGCAAGACCACAUGGAGACCAGACAGCAGAUGUCUGCAGAGUUGUGGAAGGAGCGGCUUGCCGUGCUGAAGGAGGAGAAUGAUAAGAAGAGAGCAGAGAAACAAAAGCGCAAGGAGAUGGAAGCCAGAAAUAAGGAAAAUGGCAAAGAGGAGAACGUGCUAGGCAAAGUGGACAGGAAGAAGGAAAUUGUGAAG